rnacentral:rRNA from 1 species
GGCUCAGGACGAACGCUGGCGGCGUGCUUAACACCUGCAAGUCGAACGAUGACGAUGGUGCUUGCACCGUCUGAUUAGUGGCGAACGGGUGAGUAACACGUGAGUAACCUGCCCUCCUCUUCGGGAUAACCGCCGGAAACGGUGGCUAAUACCGGAUAUGAAUGCCUGCCGCAUGGUGGGUGUUGGAAAGAUUUAUCGGUGGGGGAUGGACUCGCGGCCUAUCAGUUUGUUGGUGAGGUAAUGGCUCACCAAGGCGAUGACGGGUAGCCGGCCUGAGAGGGCGACCGGCCACACUGGGACUGAGACACGGCCCAGACUCCUACGGGAGGCAGCAGUGGGGAAUAUUGCACAAUGGGCGAAAGCCUGAUGCAGCGACGCCGCGUGGGGAUGACGGCCUUCGGGUUGUAAACCUCUUUCAGCAGGGAAGAAGCGAGAGUGACGGUACCUGCAGAAGAAGCGCCGGCUAACUACGUGCCAGCCGCUGC